ensembl:lncRNA LINC01229 long intergenic non-protein coding RNA 1229
AAGGGCAGGAGGUAACCAUUAAAGAGGACCAUCAUGUAGUGUGAGGAGUCAACAUUUCACACUAGAAAGCCCUUGGUUCAAGUUUUGUCUCUGCCACCUACAGAUUUUGUAACCCUGAGAGAAAAGGAAAAUCCUACGGAGGAGGGGCUCUGAUGGCUUUGAAGAAGGCAGUGAAUGGCCACAUGUUCCCUGAGGACAGCACAGGCUAAAGGCUCAGCUAGAAGAAAGGCACAGAGAUAGCAAGUGAAAUGGCCUCUACCUUAUUUUGAAUGGAUUUCUGGGAUAAAGUUCUUCAGUGAUAACAUGUUUGAACACAAAUCAGAGCGAACGACGUGAAAAGAGUUCUGUUUCUCCUGGAAGGAUGCCACUUGUUUCUACUCCAGGGGAAAUGUCUUCCAAGCUCUUUACCAAAUCUGCAAGCUGAACCAACUCAACUGUGGCUGCCUUGCCCACCUGAAGACCUCAGGAUCCACCAGCAGCCCAAGACACCUCGGAAGCUGUUUCAAGGACAAGCGUCGCCUGCACACGUCAGCACAAAUGGGAACAUGAUGAGUGAUGCUGCCUGGAGUUAAAGGAGGCCAGGAGCACCAGAAGCUGGAGGAGGCCGGGGUGGAUUCUCGCCUGGAGGCUUCAGUGGGAGCACGAGCUCCCGACACUUCGGUUCCAUCUCUUGUUUAAAGGCACCCAGUUUCUCAUCAUUUGUUACAGCACCAUGGAAAACCCACACACAAGUGAAGCCCCGACCCACCUCCCAAGUGCCCAUCUGAGCACCCCUCGUGGACUCUGAGCAGGGGGUUGCCAUCACCAACUCCAAGUCUUGCAGCCCCUCUUCCCUUCAGUCUGGCUGCCACCUUCUUCAUUGCCCUGGAAAAAAAUAAUGAAGUUUCACCAUUUAAAGGGUUUCAGUGCAGCUUGCUAUGGGAACACUGGAGAGUAACACAAAUGGCCAAUUGUCCUAAUAGCCACCAUGGAUUGGAUGGAUGCUAACAACAGGCUCACAGUUCUCCUUCUGUUGCCUCCUUUUAUCCACAUGAGAAUCAAACAAGACUACUGAUUAAAUGAAGCCUUUGAUGAAGUGCAUGCAGUUUGUAGCUUGAUUCAUGGGAAUACUCAUCACAGACUGAAAGUGUAACCCAGGGUCUCUGGGUUUUUGGGAACGCGCUGUGUAAAAGUAUCUACUUGUAACUGUUACUCCCUGAGUUGUUGUUGUUUUAGAAAGUUCCAAGAAGAA